AACGCACGAGACCUGCGGACCUGCGGAGGGAUCAUUAAUGAGUUGCAAAACUCCCUAAACCAUUGUGAACCUACCUGUACCGUUCCUUCGGCGGGCGGCGUCAAGCCCUAACCCGUCUCCCUUUACGGGGGAUGGACCCGCCGGAGGCUCCUAAACUCUUAACUUUUGUUGGCAUCUCUGAGUAAAUCAAAAUAAGUCAAAACUUUUAGCAACGGAUCUCU
rnacentral:misc_RNA from 1 species